rnacentral:rRNA from 1 species
GAUGAACGCUGGCGGCGUGCCUAAUACAUGCAAGUCGAGCGAACAGACGAGGAGCUUGCUCCUCUGACGUUAGCGGCGGACGGGUGAGUAACACGUGGAUAACCUACCUAUAAGACUGGGAUCACUUCGGGAAACCGGAGCUAAUACCGGAUAAUAUAUUGAACCGCAUGGUUCAAUAGUGAAAGACGGUUUUGCUGUCACUUAUAGAUGGAUCCGCGCCGCAUUAGCUAGUUGGUAAGGUAACGGCUUACCAAGGCAACGAUGCGUAGCCGACCUGAGAGGGUGGUCGGCCACACUGGAACGGAGACACGGUCCAGAGGCCUACGGGAGGCAGCAGUAGGGAAUCUUCCGCAAUGGGCGAAAGCCUGACGGAGCAACGCCGCGUGAGUGAUGAAGGUCUUCGGAUCGUAAAACUCUGUUAUUAGGGAAGAACAAAUGUGUAAGUAGCUAUGCACGUCUUGACGGUACCUAAUCAGAAAGCCACGGCUAACUACGUG